CCCUUGCUGGUCUUGUGACUAGGACUCCGGGUUCUCAUCCAGGCUACCCAGGUUCAAUUCCUGGGCAAGGAA
rnacentral:tRNA from 1 species